UAGAGUUAAGGGUAAAGUGAGUUAGAGUGAGGUAGAGUUAAGGGUAAAGUGAGGUAGAGUUAAGGGUAAAGUGAGGAAGUGUGAGGUAGAGUUAAGGGUAAAGUGAGGAAGUGUGAGGUAGAGUUAAGGGUAAAGUGAGGAAGUGUGAGGUAGAGUUAAGGGUAAAGUAAGUUAGAGUGAGGUAGAGUUAGGGGUAAAGUGAGGAAGUGUGAGGUAGAGUUAAGGGUAAAGUGAGGAAGUGUGAGGUAGAGUUAAGGGUAAAGUGAGGAAGUGUGAGGUAGAGUUAAGGGUAAAGUAAGUUAGAGUGAGGUAGAGUUAGGGGUAAAGUGAGGAAGUGUGAGGUAGAGUUAAGGGUAAAGUGAGGCAGAGUUAAGGGUAGAGUGA